rnacentral:rRNA from 1 species
AACAGGAUUAGAUACCCUGGUAGUCCACGCCGUAAACGAUGUCGACUUGGAGGUUGUGCCCUUGAGGCGUGGCUUCCGGAGCUAACGCGUUAAGUCGACCGCCUGGGGAGUACGGCCGCAAGGUUAAAACUCAAAUGAAUUGACGGGGGCCCGCACAAGCGGUGGAGCAUGUGGUUUAAUUCGAUGCAACGCGAAGAACCUUACCUGGUCUUGACAUCCACGGAAGUUUUCAGAGAUGAGAAUGUGCCUUCGGGAACCGUGAGACAGGUGCUGCAUGGCUGUCGUCAGCUCGUGUUGUGAAAUGUUGGGUUAAGUCCCGCAACGAGCGCAACCCUUAUCCUUUGUUGCCAGCGGUCCGGCCGGGAACUCAAAGGAGACUGCCAGUGAUAAACUGGAGGAAGGUGGGGAUGACGUCAAGUCAUCAUGGCCCUUACGACCAGGGCUACACACGUGCUACAAUGGCGCAUACAAAGAGAAGCGACCUCGCGAGAGCAAGCGGACCUCAUAAAGUGCGUCGUAGUCCGGAUAGGAGUCUGCAACUCGACUCCAUGAAGUCGGAAUCGCUAGUAAUCGUGGAUCAGAAUGCCACGGUGAAUACGUUCCCGGGCCUUGUACACACCGCCCGUCACACCAUGGGAGUGGGUUGCAAAAGAAGUAGGUAGCUUAACCUUCGGGAGGGCGCUUACCACUUUGUGAUUCAUGACUGGGGUGAAGUCGUAACAAGGUAACC